AUGAAUAGUUUAAAUUAUGACGUGUGUAUCACAGCUUGGGUGGACGUGAAGUUGUUUGCACCGAGUAUUUUUCCCUCUCGUGAGUACAUCCUGGCAAGUGUCUAUGGCAACGAUACUGAAAAUCAUUUAACAUCCAUCAUCAUAGAUAACCUAGUCACCAUUGGACAAUUCUGUUGGAAUCAAAUUACGUUUCACUUAAGUGUCACGAUAUACUUAUUUUAUUGCAUAGCAUGAUCAUUUAAUGUAUUAUUUCACAAAACUCUGCAUUUUCUGACAGGAUAAAUGGCAAAAGCAUGACUUGAUGCUUCUUUUGAUAUAUGUCAAUUCCCCUUUCAAAGAAAAUCCAAGAAAAAGGAGAGUUAGAUAUACUUUCUACAAGUACAUUUUUCUUUUUCUUUUUGCCUUAUAUUUGUUAUUUCUUUUUGUACUUGUCUUCUUGAGUAGGAAUAUAGUGAGAUGGUGGGGAAAACCAAAUCUAUUUUGGCUCCAGAUGAAAAAAGCCUCUGCUUGUGAGUUGGCCGUGGACGCAUAG
rnacentral:lncRNA from 1 species